CUAAAGAAACUGCAGAGAAAAACACAAAACAAACGUGGCUGGGUAUAUAUAUAAUAUAUAUUGUGAUAUUCACUCACGCAUCUCUUCCACAAGGUAUCAUGAAUUCUGAGGUCAAGAGAGGUCUACUCCUCGGUCUUCUUCUACUUGCAUGGAGCUUGCUUUUCAUAGGUGGCCCACCUUUCAAAUGCCCAAAAGGAACUAAAUGUUAUGCUGUUCCUCGAUCACCGCCACCAGCUCCUGGGGUGAGCCACGGGCAUACACCGUAAAAGUCCUUCCUAUAUUUCAUGUAUUAGACAUCUCUUAUACAAUAUAUGGGGAAUUUAUAUAAAUGAAUGCAGUGGAAUGAUAUGUAGUACGAUGUAUACAUUUUCUGUGGAGUGUCUAGGGUUUAUAAGAAAAAAAAAAAGAAAAAAAAGAAUAUAGAGACAAAUAUAAAAAAUUUGAUGUAGAACAAGUGUCUCUAGACUUUCUUAGAAAUUUGAAUAUUCAAAAAGUGAAGGCGUAUAGCUGUGUCUGUGUAAUUAAACUAAAUAAUUUAUGUUAUUUUGAGACCUAAAUUUUAUUUUA